CGUCCAGACUCCUACGGGAGGCAGCAGUGGGGGAUAUUGCACAAUGGGGGGAACCCUGAUGCAGCGACGCCGCGUGGGUGAAGAAGUAUUUCGGUAUGUAAAGCCCUAUCGGCAGGGAAGAAAUUGGACGGUACCUGACUAAGAAGCCCCGGCUAACUACGUGCCAGCAGCCGCGGUAAUACGUAGGGGGCAAGCGUUAUCCGGAUUCACUGGGUGUAAAGGGAGCGUAGACGGCCAUGCAAGCCUGGAGUGAAAGGCGGGGGCUCAACCCCCGGACUGCUCUGGAAACUGUACGGCUGGAGUGCAGGAGAGGUAAGUGGAAUCCCUAGUGUAGCGGUGAAAUGCGUAGAUAUUAGGAGGAACACCAGUGGCGAAGGCGGCUUACUGGACUGUAACUGACGUUGAGGCUCGAAAGCGUGGGGAGCAAACAGGAUUAGAUACCCUGGUAC
rnacentral:rRNA from 1 species